rnacentral:rRNA from 1 species
ACAUCGCCUCUUGCAUCCCAAAGUAUAAGAGGUCCCACCUGCCCUGUGACUCUAAGUUUAACGGCCGCGGUAUUCUAACCGUGCGAAGGUAGCGCAAUCAAUUGCCUUUUAAAUGAAGGCCUGUAUGAAUGGUAUAACGAGGGUCUGACUGUCUCUUUUUUCUAGUCAGUUAAACUGAUCUGUCCGUGCAGAAGCGGACAUUAUUAUACAAGACGAGAAGACCCUAUGGAGCUUUAGACACUAGCCAACUGUGAAUGAGCGACUGAACUAUACAAGUCUUAAAUACCCACAGCCUCUGGUAAUGUAGUCUUAGGUUGGGGCGACCACGGGAGAAAAUAAAGCUCCCAAGCAGACGGGGAAAACCCUUAAGCCCAGAGUUGCAACUCUAAGCCGCAAAAAUUUUGACUGAAAUGAUCCGGUUGAAAAACCGAUUAACGAACCAAGUUACCCUAGGGAUAACAGCGCAAUCCUCUCCCAGAGUCCCUAUCGACGAGGGGGUUUACGACCUCGAUGUUGGAUCAGGACAUCCUAAUGGUGCAGCCGCUAUUAAGGGUUCGUUUGUUCAACGAUUAAAGUCCUACGUGAUCU